rnacentral:rRNA from 1 species
UACGGGGGGGGCAAGCGUUGUUCGGAAUUACUGGGCGUAAAGGGCUCGUAGGCGGCCAACUAAGUCGGAUGUGAAAUCCCCAGGCUCAACCUGGGAACUGCAUCCGAUACUGGAUGGCUUGAAUUCGGGAGAGGGAUGCAGAAUUCCAGGUGUAGCGGUGAAAUGCGUAGAUAUCUGGAGGAAUACCGGUGGCGAAGGCGGCAUCCUGGACCGACAUUGACGCCGAUGAGCGAAAGCUAGGGGAGCAAACGGG